ACAAAAGGCAGCAGGGGCUGGAAUGAAGGGGGAAGGGCAGUGAGUUGUGGGAAGUUCCCUGCGGAGAAGACCCUGAUACCAGGGGGUUUGGAAGUCAGAGCUAGAGACUCAAGGCAGGAAAGCCAGGGAGUCAGCUGAAUUGGAGACUACUGGGAGUGAGCAGGCUCCAGCAGAAAGAGCUGGGCUGUGGGCUUUCCCUCCGGAGACUACAGGCAGGAAAGGCUUGGGAGGGUUCAAGUUGUGCUCAGCAAAGAAAUGGCUAGGAAGCCUGUCCUGGAUAUGGUCUGCAAAAGGAGGCAGAUUGUAGACAACAGCAACCCAUAUGUGGCCCUAGGCAUGGGCUGAACUCUGAUGAUACUAAUCAGUGGUGCAGAGACAGAAUCCCAGUCAAUAGCCCAUUGUACACCCACGGACAUGCCUGGACACAGCAUGCCGCGCAUGGCGUACUUUGUGCUCUCCUCACAGCCCACAGCGGUACCCGGUGAAAGCACUGGUGGCUCUAGGGUGGGUUCCGCUGCACCAGCAGAAUACGCAGCACCAUUUAGAUUUGGCCUGGCCGUGAGUGGGAUGCAGUGUGGUGCAUGGGGCCGCAGCACCACUCAGGUUUGACCCAGCCAUCCCUCAUGACGGAGGGGCUGCUGAGCCAAAGUUGAGUGCAUGAUGUGGCGACCUAGUGCAUCGGGUUGUAGUGCCAGUCAUGUUUGUGCAUGUCGCCUGCCCUGGCCAUGCCAGAUCCCACUGUUGCUGCUGCUGACAUCAUCGUGCUGGGUCUGAGGGGACCCAUCAGGCCAGGAGCCUGGAGAUUGGAGUGGGAUUGGGGAUAACACUCCCACUGGAAGUUGGCCAGAGCUCAGGGAGAGGUGGAACAGGAAGCAGCCCCCUAGUCACACAUAGGGCACAGACCCCGCAUACCCAUGGUGAGGUCAGCGACCCCACAGGCCUGGGCACACUCUGACCCAACAUCCACCUACUGAGCCCCCUGCUCCUUGGUAUAUUGUGCACCCAUUGAUGUGGGAGCUUGCUUCCGCCUCUGGGUUAAAGAAUUCUUUCCAUGCAUGCCAUUUCUGCUUUUUGGUUUUUUUCCUCUGUCACGUGUAAAGAGAAUAAUGAUCUGAAAUGAA